rnacentral:rRNA from 1 species
CUGGCUCAGAACGAACGCUGACGGCGCGUCUUAAGCAUGCAAGUCGAACGAGAAAGUAUCCUUCGGGGUACAAGUAAAGUGGCGAACGGGUGAGUAACACGUGGGUAAUCUGCCCUGAAGUUGGGGACAACUCGCUGAAAAGCGAGCUAAUACCGAAUGAGAUAGUCUUUACAUAUGUGAGGAUUAUGAAAGGUUUCGGCCGCUUCAGGAUGAGCCUGCGGUCUAUUAGCUAGUUGGUGAGGUAAAUGCUCACCAAUGCUACGAUAGAUAGCCGGCCUGAGAGGGUGUACGGUCACAUUGGAACUGAGACACGGUCCAGACUCCUACGGGAGGCAGCAGCUAAGAAUAUUCCGCAAUGGGCGAAAGCCUGACGGAGCGACGCCGUGUGGUUGAUGAAGGCCUUACAGGUUGUAAAAACCUUUUAUUCGAGAAGAUGGGCAAGCCUCGAGCUUGCUUGACGGUAUCGAACGAAUAAGCCCCGGCAAAUUACGUGCCAGCAGCCGCGGUAAUACGUAAGGGGCUAGCGUUGUUCGGAAUUAUUGGGCGUAAAGGGCGUGCAGGCGGACUGAUAAGUCGGGUGUGAAAUCUUAUGGCUUAACCAUGAGCUAUUGCUCGAAACUGUUAGUCUAGAGUUUGGAAUAGGGAGACGGAAUUCCUAGUGUAGGAGUGAAAUCUAUAGAUAUUAGGAAGAACACCGGUGGCGAAGGCGGUCUCCUGGUCUAAAACUGACGCUAAAGCGCGAAAGCUAGGGUAGCAAACGGGAUUAGAUACCCCGGUAGUCCUAGCCGUAAACGUUGCAUACUAGGUGUAUGAGGUGUCGAUCCCUCAUGUGCC